rnacentral:rRNA from 1 species
AACGAACGCUGGCGGCGCGUCUUAAACAUGCAAGUCGUACGAGAACCUCUUUGCUUGCAUCGAGGGGAGAGUGGCGAACGGGUGAGUAACACGUGGAUAAUCUGCCUCUAAGAUUGGGACAACCAUUGGAAACGGUGGCUAAUACCGAAUAAGAUAAUAGCUACAUAAGUAGCAGUUAUUAAAGGUGGGGACCUUCGGGCCUACCGCUUGGAGAUGAGUCCGCGGCCCAUUAGUUAGUUGGUGGGGUAAUGGCCUACCAAGACAGCGAUGGGUAGCCGGCCUGAGAGGGUGAUCGGCCACAUUGGGACUGAGAUACGGCCCAGACUCCUACGGGAGGCAGCAGUUAAGAAUCUUGCGCAAUGGGCGAAAGCCUGACGCAGCGACGUCGCGUGGACGAUGAAGGCCUUCGGGUUGUAAAGUUCGAUAAG